CAACAGUUGAUCUUGUUCAGACCGAAUACAAAGCAAAGGACGGCCUCCCUGGCCUAAGACUGGUAUGCAAUGAUGUGCUUCACUUUGGACAAUCACUAGUACUCACAAUAACUGAGAAACAAGAGCAACUAUGACUAAAACCUAAAAGUAACAAAUUAAUGAGAGAAACAUGU